UACGAAGGGGGCUAGCGUUGCUCGGAAUCACUGGGCGUAAAGCGCACGUAGGCGGAUUUCUAAGUCAGGGGUGAAAUCCUGGGGCUCAACCUCAGAAUUGCCUCCGAUACUGGCAGUCUCGAGUGCGGGAGAGGUGAGUGGAAUUCCCAGUGUAGAGGUGAAAUUCGUAGAUAUUGGGAAGAACACCAGUGGCGAAGGCGGCUCACUGGCCCGUAACUGACGCUGAGGUGCGAAAGCGUGGGGAGCAAACAGG
rnacentral:rRNA from 1 species